rnacentral:rRNA from 5 species
UGGGGGACAACGUUUCGAAAGGAACGCUAAUACCGCAUACGUCCUACGGGAGAAAGCAGGGGACCUUCGGGCCUUGCGCUAUCAGAUGAGCCUAGGUCGGAUUAGCUAGUUGGUGAGGUAAUGGCUCACCAAGGCGACGAUCCGUAACUGGUCUGAGAGGAUGAUCAGUCACACUGGAACUGAGACACGGUCCAGACUCCUACGGGAGGCAGCAGUGGGGAAUAUUGGACAAUGGGCGAAAGCCUGAUCCAGCCAUGCCGCGUGUGUGAAGAAGGUCUUCGGAUUGUAAAGCACUUUAAGUUGGGAGGAAGGGCAGUUUCCUAAUACGAAAUUGUUUUGACGUUACCGACAGAAUAAGCACCGGCUAACUCUGUGCCAGCAGCCGCGGUAAUACAGAGGGUGCAAGCGUUAAUCGGAAUUACUGGGCGUAAAGCGCGCGUAGGUGGUUUGUUAAGUUGAAUGUGAAAUCCCCGGGCUCAACCUGGGAACUGCAUCCAAAACUGGCAAGCUAGAGUAGGGCAGAGGGUGGUGGAAUUUCCUGUGUAGCGGUGAAAUGCGUA